ACAAAACUCGGCACACAGACUACUCUGGAGAGGUCAAAGGGCAAGGCAACCGAGCAAGAAAACUCCACAACAGCAACACCAGGCCUCCUGGCCGCGCAAGGUGUGAGGGCCUGGGAUCCUCCCUGCGCUCCGGCGUUGGGCCAAAGCCAGGAUGGAGCCCCCUGGGCAGGAGGCUGGGUCCGGGUAGGAGGUGACACAACACCGCCAUCACCCAACCCUGAAAGCGCCUCUGUGGUGGCGGGCGGGCCCGGCUCCCCUGCGGCCUCUCCUCCCCCCCUCACCCCUACCCCAACCCCCGUCCGUCUCGGCUCUUCCCAGGGCGCCGCUGCUCUGCUCCGCUCCGCGAGAGGGACGGGGCGGGAGGGGGGGCUGCUCGUCCAGGGUCGCUCACCGUCACGCGGGGCGCUGCGCCGUCCGGAGCUGCUCCCGCGCGCAGAGGCCCGAGGACAGUGUCACGGGGUCGGCACUCGCGACCGCUGCGGCUGGAGCGACAGGCCUGCAGGCGCCCGGCCGCCGCGGAUUCGGGGCGGGGGAGGGGCGGCCAGAGCACGGCAUCAGCUGAGGCCGGGCGCUGCUGCAACCUGCGUCCGCGCCUGCGCAGAGCGCUUCCGUAGGUGUGUGACCCAGGCGCGUGCACCACGCAUGCGUCCUUCUUACCCUUUGCUCCAGCCCGGAAGCGCAGCGGCGGCUCUAAUUUGUUCAGCCUGCGGGUUCUGUUGCCUUGGUCUCCCGAGACUCAGAGUUACUAAAACUUGCUGCCAACAAACAACAAACACACUGCUCUGAGCGCUUGUAAGCAUUGGAACUUCUUCAGAAGACUCAUGAAGCAUACUCCAAGGAAAGAAGAAAGUAAGGAGCCAACUAUAAACUUGGGAAUGAUAAGGAGACUUAUUAUAUAAUAACAUGCUAAUUUAUGGUCACUUAGGAGGACACUAACUAAAGUGGACCACAUGGCCUGACUAUAGUGCUAUAUUGAUAGAUAGCACCUGUAUUACAGAGACAGCAAAAAGAUCUUCCUUUUUUAUUUGGAAUACCCAAAGUCUGGUAAAGAUUUUUUCCCCUUUGUUUCCUCUACCUCCCAGUGGAAAAGCAUUUAAGGUUAAGGAUUCAUGUAAUGAUUAUUUAUUUAUUUAUUUUCCAUGUAAUUGUAAUUUAUAUUUCUUAGUUUUCUACUGCUCUAUCGACGUACUUCCACUCUGUGAGCCUCUUCUCUUUAAACCCUCAUCUUCUUGUUCUGU
rnacentral:lncRNA from 1 species